AUGGGCAUCCAGAUCCUCUGUUGUAUGAUCAUUUGUGUUCUGAUAACAAAUAACACAGAUGCUGGAGUCACCCAGACACCCAGACAUGAGGUGGCAGAGAAAGGACAAACAAUAAUUCUCACGUGUGAGCCAGUUUCAGGCCACAAUGAUCUUUUCUGGUACAGACAGACUAAGAUAAAGGGGCUAGAGUUGCUGAGCUACUUCCGCAACAAGUCUCCUAUGGAGGAUGCAGGGGCACUCAAGGAUCGAUUCACAGUUGAGUUUCAAGAUUCAUCCAUCUCCACGCUGAAGAUUCAACCUACAGAACCCCAGGACUCAGCUGUGUAUCUGUGUGCCAGCAGUUUAGCCACAGAACUACACAAGGAUGUCCUCCCAGUACAAAAACACUUGUAUCCUCCUCUCCCUCCAGUCCCUACCAGUUCUGAAGAUGUCUAUGCUCCUUCAAACAAAACAAACAAAGAAACAAAAACAGCAAAGGAUAGAGGCAUGGCAAAGACAGAAAAAAAAUACAGUAUUAGCAAAUUUGGGUGGAAAUUCAGAGAUUUCUCACAUAUGGUUGUGGGCUGA